ACCUCUUUUUUAGCUUUGAGAAGAGAUGGUCUGCAUGCAGAAGGUCGUAUGUUCUCGGGUAAGUGCUGAAAGAUUCACACCAGUCAUGGUACAUACCAAACAAGCCACGCUCAUAAAUAAUGGGCAGCGUGUCUGCUGAAUCCGUUGGCACAAUAUUCAUAACCCAGACUUUUUGAAAGCAAGCCAUUUACUUACCCUCCAUAUACAGCUCUCAUGUCCAUGACGUUUCUUACUUUAGACCAGUCGAUUCCCAUGCCAUUCACAUAAGAUUUACUUACGACUCGUUUCCAAUGAGCAUAAUCAGCCUCAAAAUCUUCGUUUCCUGGUUUUCCAUAGAUUCCAACAUGAGAGUCAUCUAUCCAGUAGGGGGUCUUCUCAAGCCUUUGUGGCCAUGUCUCUGGCCAUUUUGACCCUCGGACUGAUUGGCCAGCAGGCAAUUUAACAUUAACUAUUCAUACCAUGCAGCAUCAGCAUCAUCAGUUUCCUUGCAUAACGGUGGGCUGUUUUCUGGUCUUUUCUCAUAGCAACUGUUGUCCAUUGGCUUCUGAUAUAUGGCCAUACCAACUUGAUUUAACUUAUCCUUAGUCUUGUUAACCAUUUUCCAGCACAUGGCCUUUGUUAGAGAAGACAUGGCUGAAAACAGUGAACAAUUAUGUCAGGCCUGCUUCUGGUAAACAGGAGUGGCAGACCAGACGAAGUAACCACCAGGGCGUAAUAGGCGGUUCAGUUCCAGCAAUAGCAUGCCACCUGACAGAAAAUCGAGCGCAAUGAAUGACAUCAAAGACCCUGCUGGGGUAUGGGAGCCUUUUGGUGCCCAUGACAGCUGAUAUUGCUGGAAUACCUCUCUCAAGUGCAAACUGUACUUGAGCUUCAUGCUCGUCUUUUGGGGCAAAUGACAUCGUGAGUACAUCUCUCUCAAACAUGUACCCUCCAAAGCUAGCAACUCCACAGCCAACAUCUAGAAUGACACGGCUUCGUUUGCCCCAUGCAAUAUCAGGUAAUGCCUGCAGAAAGCAGUAUGAGCCUAGUUGCACCAUUCUUGAACUGAGUGCCACCCCCGGGAAAUAGGAGAUGAUCCCCAGAAACUUUAACCCAGUUUUGGUGCCCCUUGUACUCAGCAAGCUUAGUGUGGGGGACAUUGCUUAUUCAACAUUGCAAAAACAUCAUAAAAAUACAAAAUUACCUUGUCCCUGCUCGUGGGCCACUCAACUGGGCGUUUAUAUCCUUCAGGAAGUGGAACAACACAGGUAGGAGGCUCCACAGGGCAAUGCCUCUCACGGUGCUCAUAAUGUUUGGUGGUUCGAAGCUUCUUGAUAGCCUUCUCAUUGUCGAGGCAAGGUAUGUAAUC
rnacentral:sRNA from 1 species